GCCGGCGUGGCGGAACUGGCAGACGCGCGCGACUCAAAAUCGUGAGCCGAGAGGUGUGUGGGUUCGAUUCCCACCGCCGGCACCA
rnacentral:tRNA from 1 species